rnacentral:rRNA from 1 species
GAUGAACGCUGGCGGCGUGCCUAAUACAUGCAAGUCGAGCGAACAGAUGAGGAGCUUGCUCCUCUGACGUUAGCGGCGGACGGGUGAGUAACACGUGGAUAACCUACCUAUAAGACUGGGAUAACUUCGGGAAACCGGAGCUAAUACCGGAUAAUAUAUUGAACCGCAUGGUUCAAUAGUGAAAGACGGUUUUGCUGUCACUUAUAGAUGGUUCCGCGCCGCAUUAGCUAGUUGGUAAGGUAACGGCUUACCAAGGCAACGAUGCGUAGCCGACCUGAGAGGGUGAUCAGCCACACUGGAACUGAGACACGGUCCAGACUCCUACGGGAGGCAGCAGUAGGGAAUCUUCCGCAAUGGGCGAAAGCUUGACGGAGCAACGCCGCGUGAGUGAUGAAGGUCUUCGGAUCGUAAAACUCUGUUAUUAGGGAAGAACAAAUGUGUAAGUAACUAUGCACGUCUUGACGGUACCUAAUCAGAAAGCCACGGCUAACUACGUG